rnacentral:rRNA from 1 species
AGCGAAUGUGGAGCCGUAGCGAAAGCGAGUCUGAAUAGGGCGCUGAGUAUUUGGUCGUAGACCCGAAACCAGGUGAUCUACCCAUGACCAGGUUGAAGUUCAGGUAACACUGAAUGGAGGACCGAACCGACUUACGUUGAAAAGUGAGCGGAUGAGUUGUGGGUAGCGGAGAAAUUCCAAUCGAACUUGGAGAUAGCUGGUUCUCUCCGAAAUAGCUUUAGGGCUAGCCUCAAGUGAUGAUUAUUGGAGGUAGAGCACUGUUUGGACGAGGGGCCCCUCUCGGGUUACCGAAUUCAGACAAACUCCGAAUGCCAAUCAAUUUAACUUGGGAGUCAGAACAUGGGUGAUAAGGUCCGUGUUCGAAAGGGAAACAGCCCAGACCACCAGCUAAGGUCCCAAAAUAUAUGUUAAGUGGAAAAGGAUGUGGCGUUGCCCAGACAACUAGGAUGUUGGCUUAGAAGCAGCCAUCAUUUAAAGAGUGCGUAAUAGCUCACUAGUCGAGUGACACUGCGCCGAAAAUGUACCGGGGCUAAACAUAUUACCGAAGCUGUGGAUUGUCCGUAGGACAGUGGUAGGAGAGCGUUCUAAGGGCGUUGAAGCAUGACCGUAAGGACGUGUGGAGCGCUUAGAAGUGAGAAUGCCGGUGUGAGUAGCGAAAGAUGGGUGAGAAUCCCAUCCACCGAUUGACUAAGGUUUCCAGAGGAAGGCUCGUCCGCUCUGGGUUAGUCGGGACCUAAGCCGAGGCCGACAGGCGUAGGCGAUGGAUAACAGGUUGAUAUUCCUGUACCACCUCAAUUCGUUUUAAGCGAUGGGGGGACGCAGUAGGAUAGACGAAGCGUGCUGUUGGAGUGCACGUCCAAGCAGUAAGGCCGAGUGGUAGGCAAAUCCGCCACUCAUCAAGCUGAGCUGUGAUGGGGAGAGGAAAUUGUUUCCUCGAGUCGUUGAUUUCACACUGCCGAGAAAAGCCUCUAGCUAGAAUAUAGGUGCCCGUACCGCAAACCGACACAGGUAGUCAAGAUGAGAAUUCUAAGGUGAGCGAGCGAACUCUCGUUAAGGAACUCGGCAAAAUGACCCCGUAACUUCGGGAGAAGGGGUGCUCUUUGGGGUUCACGCCCUGAAGAGCCGCAGUGAAUAGGCCCAAGCGACUGUUUAUCAAAAACACAGGUCUCUGCUAAACCGUAAGGUGAUGUAUAGGGGCUGACGCCUGCCCGGUGCUGGAAGGUUAAGAGGAGUGGUUAGCUUCUGCGAAGCCACGAAUCGAAGCCCCAGUAAACGGCGGCCGUAACUAUAACGGUCCUAAGGUAGCGAAAUUCCUUGUCGGGUAAGUUCCGACCCGCACGAAAGGCGUAACGAUUUGGGCACUGUCUCAACGAGAGACUCGGUGAAAUCAUAGUACCUGUGAAGAUGCAGGUUACCCGCGACAGGACGGAAAGACCCCGUGGAGCUUUACUGUAGCCUGAUAUUGAAAUUCGGCGCAGCUUGUACAGGAUAGGUAGGAGCCUUAGAUACGUGAGCGCUAGCUUACGUGGAGGCGUUGGUGGGAUACUACCCUAGCUGUGUUGGAUUUCUAACCCGCACCAUUGAUCAUGGUGGGAGACAAUGUCAGGUGGGCAGUUUGACUGGGGCGGUCGCCUCCUAAAAGGUAACGGAGGCGCUCAAAGGUUCCCUCAGAAUGGUUGGAAAUCAUUCACAGAGUGUAAAGGCAUAAGGGAGCUUGACUGCGAGACUUACAAGUCGAGCAGGGUCGAAAGACGGACUUAGUGAUCCGGUGGUUCCGCAUGGAAGGGCCAUCGCUCAACGGAUAAAAGCUACCCCGGGGAUAACAGGCUUAUCUCCCCCAAGAGUUCACAUCGACGGGGAGGUUUGGCACCUCGAUGUCGGCUCAUCGCAUCCUGGGGCUGUAGUCGGUCCCAAGGGUUGGGCUGUUCGCCCAUUAAAGCGGUACGCGAGCUGGGUUCAGAACGUCGUGAGACAGUUCGGUCCCUAUCCGUCGUGGGCGUAGGAAAUUUGAGAGGAGCUGUCCUUAGUACGAGAGGACCGGGAUGGACAUACCUCUGGUGUACCAGUUGUCGUGCCAACGGCAUCGCUGGGUAGCUAUGUAUGGACGGGAUAAGUGCUGAAAGCAUCUAAGCAUGAAGCCCCCCUCAAGAUGAGAUUUCCCAACUUCGGUUAUAAGAUCCCUCAAAGAUGAUGAGGUGAAUAGGUUCGAGGUGGAAGCGUAGCGAUACGUGGAGCUGACGAAUACUAAUCGAUCGAAGACUUAAUCAA